rnacentral:misc_RNA from 1 species
UUGUGUCACAACAACUGAUCUUAAAUGAAUGAGUGCACCCUGCUGUUGCAGCGUCUUCAGUGUGAUAAGCAUCUUCACUGGAACAAAGUUCCCUUUUGGGACACGUAAGUAAUGUAGGCUCUGUGCUGGCAAACCGUCUUUUUUGGACAAAUCUUUGACAAUUUGACCUCAAAUCGGGUGGGACUACCCGCUGAACUUAA